rnacentral:rRNA from 1 species
CCACGCCGUAAACGAUGGGCACUAGGUGCCGGGGGGAGCGACCCCUUCGGUGCCGCAGCUAACGCGAUAAGUGCCCCGCCUGGGGAGUACGGCCGCAAGGCUGAAACUCAAAGGAAUUGACGGGGGCCCGCACAAGCGGUGGAGCAUGUGGUUUAAUUCGAAGCAACGCGAAGAACCUUACCUAGGUUUGACAUGUAGAUGAAAGCUCUUGGAAACAGGGGCCCUUCUUCGGAACAUUUACACAGGUGCUGCAUGGCUGU